rnacentral:rRNA from 1 species
UGCCAGCCGCCGCGGUAAUACCGGCAGCUCGAGUGCUCGUCGCUUUUAUUGGGCCUAAAACGUCCGUAGCCUGUUUGGUAAAUCUGUGGGUAAAUCAACCAGCUUAACUGGUUGAAUUCUGCAGAGACUGCCAGACUAGGGACCGGGAGAGGUGUGGGGUACUCUAGGGGCAGGGGUAAAAUCCUGUCAUCCUUAGAGGACCACCAGUUGCGAAGGCGCCACACUAGAACGGAUCCGACGGUCUGGGACGAAGCCUAGGGGCACGAACCGGAUUAGAUA